rnacentral:rRNA from 1 species
AUUGAACGCUGGCGGCAUGCCUUACACAUGCAAGUCGAACGGCAGCACGGGAGCAAUCCUGGUGGCGAGUGGCGAACGGGUGAGUAAAGUAUCGGAACGUGCCCAGUCGUGGGGGAUAAAGUAGCGAAAGUUACGCUAAUACCGCAUACGAUCUAUGGAUGAAAGCGGGGGAUCGCAAGACCUCGCGCGAUUGGAGCGGCCGAUAUCAGAUUAGGUAGUUGGUGGGGUAAAGGCUCACCAAGCCGACGAUCUGUAGCUGGUCUGAGAGGACGACCAGCCACACUGGGACUGAGACACGGCCCAGACUCCUACGGGAGGCAGCAGUGGGGAAUUUUGGACAAUGGGCGCAAGCCUGAUCCAGCCAUGCCGCGUGCAGGAUGAAGGCCUUCGGGUUGUAAACUGCUUUUGUACGGAACGAAAAGGUUUGACUUAAUACGUUGGACUCAUGACGGUACCGUAAGAAUAAGCACCGGCUAACUACGUGCCAGCAGCCGCAGUAA